AGGAUUUAUGGUCAAGCUACUAAGGGCAGACGGUGGAUGCCUUGGCACUGAUAGGCGAUGAAGGACGCGGAAAGCUGCGAAAAGCUUCGGGGAGCCGCUAACAGGCUUUGAUCCGGAGGUAUCCGAAUGGGGAAACCCACCUGGGGUUAUGCUCAGGUAUUAUGAAGUGAAUACAUAGCUUCAUGAGGCGAACGCAGGGAACUGAAACAUCUAAGUACCUGUAGGAGAAGAAAUCAAUUGAGAUUCCGUUAGUAGUGGCGAGCGAACGCGGAAAAGCCCAAACCAUGGCACUUGUGUCAUGGGGUUGUGGGGCCCCGACAUGGGAUUGAGGAGAGAUAGUAGAACGGCAUGGAAAGGCCGACCAUAGACGGUGAGAGUCCGGUAUACGAAAUUUCAAAUCACCCUAGGGUGUCCCCGAGUACCACGAGGCACGUGAAACCUAGUGGGAAUCCGGGAGGACCAUCUUCCAAGGCUAAAUACUCAUCAGUGACCGAUAGUGAACCAGUACCGUGAGGGAAAGGUGAAAAGUACGGGGGGACCCGAGUGAAAUAGUACCUGAAACCGUCUGCUUACAAGCGGUAGGAGCACGAUGUCGUAAGACCGUGUGACUGCGUGCCUUUUGCAUAAUGAGUCAACGAGUUACCCUAUGCAGCGAGGUUAAGCCGAGAGGUGUAGCCGUAGCGAAAGCGAGUCUUAACAGGGCGAAUAGUUGCAUGGGGUAGACCCGAAACCGGGUGAUCUAUCCAUGGCCAGGGUGAAGCGAAGGUAACACUUCGUGGAGGCCCGAACAGGUGUAGGUUGAAAACUGCUCUGAUGAGCUGUGGAUAGGAGUGAAAGGCUAAUCAAACUCGGUGAUAGCUGGUUUUCUCCGAAAUAUAUUUAGGUAUAGCCUCGCACGAUGACUGACGGAGGUAGAGCACUGACUGGACUAGGGGGUCUUACCGACUUACCAACCCCAAUCAAACUCCGAAUGCCGUCAAGCUCAAAUGCGGGAGUCAGACUACGGGAGAUAAGUUCCGUGGUCGAAAGGGAAACAGCCCAGACCGACAGCUAAGGUCCCAAAAUACAUGCUAAGUGGUAAAGGAUGUGGAACUGCCCAGACAACCAGGAGGUUGGCUUAGAAGCAGCAACCCUUUAAAGAUAGCGUAAUAGCUCACUGGUCGAGUGGGUCUGCGCCUAAAAUUUAACGGGGCUCAAGCAUGUUACCGAAGCUUCGGAUCGAAUUUAUUCGAUGGUAGGAGAACAUUGUAGCGCCGUAGAAGGUAUAUCGAAAGAAGUGCUGGAGGUUCUACAAGAGCUUAUGUUGACACGAGUAGCGAAAAUGCGGGUGAGAAACCCGCACGCCGAAAACCUAAGGUUUCCUGAAGUCAAGUUAAUCUGCUCAGGGUUAGUCGACCCCUAAGGCGAGGCCGAGAGGCGUAGUCGAUGGGAAACAGGUUAAUAUUCCUGUACUAGUGUGAUAAUGUUUGAGCGAAGGGGGGACGCAGAAGGGUAGGCCAUCCGGGUGUUGGACGUCCCGGUUUAAGCGUGUAGGUGGGGGAUCCAGGCAAAUCCGGAUCCCUGUACAACACUGAGGCGUGAUGACGAAGGUCCCAGUAGGGACCGCAAAGUGGUUGAUCCCAGGCUGCCAGGAAAAUCCUCGUAGUGAGUUAUCAGAUUAAUCGUACCGUAAACCGACACAGGUAGGUAGGGAGAGUAUCCCAAGGCGCUUGAGAGAACUCUGGUUAAGGAACUCGGCAAAUUAACACCGUAACUUCGGAAGAAGGUGUGCCAUCAUAAUGUGAAGCGACUUGCUCGUGGAGCAGAAGGUGGUUGCAGAGAAACGGGGGGAGCGACUGUUUACUAAAAACACAGGACUCUGCGAAGUCGAAAGACGCAGUAUAGGGUCUGACGCCUGCCCGGUGCCGGAAGGUUAAGGGGACUUGUUAGUCGCAAGGCAAAGCAAUGAACCGAAGCCCCGGUAAACGGCGGCCGUAACUAUAACGGUCCUAAGGUAGCGAAAUUCCUUGUCGGGUAAGUUCCGACCUGCACGAAUGGCGUAACGACUUCCGCACUGUCUCAACCAGGGACUCAGCGAAAUUGUAUUGGCGGUGAAGAUGCCGUCUACCCGCGAAAAGACGGAAAGACCCCGGCACCUUUACUAUAGCUUGACAUUGGAUUUUGAACUAGUAUGUGUAGGAUAGGUGGGAGACUUUGAAGCCGGGACGCCAGUUCCGGUGGAGUCGCCCUUGAAAUACCACCCUUGCUAUUUUAGGGUUCUAACUUCGACCCAUGAACUGGGCGAAAGACAGUGUCUGGUGGGUAGUUUGACUGGGGCGGUCGCCUCCCAAAGAGUAACGGAGGCGCGCGAAGGUUCCCUCAGGCUGAUUGGAAACCAGCCGUAGAGUGUAAAGGCAUAAGGGAGCUUGACUGCGAGAGAGACAUUUCGAGCAGGUACGAAAGUAGGUCUUAGUGAUCCGGCGGUUCUGAAUGGAAGGGCCGUCGCUCAACGGAUAAAAGGUACGCCGGGGAUAACAGGCUUAUCGCCCCCAAGAGUUCACAUCGACGGGGCGGUUUGGCACCUCGAUGUCGGCUCAUCACAUCCUGGGGCUGGAGAAGGUCCCAAGGGUCGGGCGUUCGCCGAUUAAAGUGGCACGCGAGCUGGGUUCAGAACGUCGUGAGACAGUUCGG
rnacentral:rRNA from 1 species